UCAUUAAAUGUGCACAAUACGUGCAGCAGAUUCCUCGUUGAAUUCUGUCUAUGCAACAUAUGGACAGUCUCAAAGCACAGUUUUUUCCGAGUGUAGCUGCUGCGGACGCCUGUGGGUGCUGCUGCAUUUGGUCUGACUCUUGCUGUGAUAAAUGGAUCGGAAAAUACGCGUACUCGAGAACGGACGCCUUGUUUAACGCGUUGCAUAGGAACUACACCUCAGAUUAGUUGAGAGUUUCCUUUGUUGUGGCUCUUGACGUUCUGACUGAACUAAACUACAAACAACAUCAACUUACUGCUUGCACCUGUACAUAAUGAAAAUGCACAGCCUGGCUGAGAAAUAAGAAAACAAAGCAUA
rnacentral:sRNA from 1 species